ensembl:lncRNA
AUGUGGAGUCUGUCCAGCUGCCCUUCAAAACCAGAGUUAACCUGUCUGAAGAGGAUAAAGUGGAGUGGAAGGACAGAAACAUCAGGAAGGUCCAUGUGUAUCCAGAAGUGUCUGACCAUCCUGAAGAACAAGACCAGGUUUACAGAGACUGGACAGAUGAAUGAAGACCUGCUGAAAACUGGAGACCUCAGUCUGACCCUGAAAUACCCCACAGACUGGGACACAAACACCUACACCUGCACCAUCUACAGCAGUUCCUGUAUGCUAAAGAAGAAACAAGAAGUGAAACUUGAAGUCAGAGGUUCAGGCCUCUUGGGAUGAAGCUGCUGAGGCUUUGAGGACAUGUUCUCCAAAUCUUCAGCUAUGUUGUUGACAUGCCACCAUCCGCCCAGGGCUCUCCUUCUCCAUUUGGCUGAAUCUGCUUCCGUGAGCCACUCCUUAAGUCGGCUUUGCGACACGGGCACUUUUGGUGUGACUGAUAGUUUUCCAAUAGGAUCGUGCUGAUAUCAGUCUGACUCUGAAAAACCCCACACAGGGAAACAUUGGGAGAUACACAUGUUACGUCUGGAGAAAGGGAGACAUAAUCAGAUCAAAAACAGUGAUGUUCAAAGUAACAGUUUCUCGGGUGCCAUUGUCUAGAUAUUGAACUUUGGUUUUAUUAUAUUAAUUUCCUCUUUAUGAUAGAAUGAACUUUAAUGUCCUCUUGUUUAACCUUCACCCAGGAGUACCCGAAGCUAGCGUGCAGCUAGCAGGCUGCACUCUGCUGGGACAGGACAAAGGACAAAGGCAUUAUGUUGGUUUUUUCUGAAUCUUUGGUUUUUAUUUAGCCUUUUCUCUAUUUUUUUCAAUGAGUCUUAGCUGCACACUGCCUUUGAAACACAUGUUCAACAAGAAGCCACAGAAACCUUUAUCACAUUAAAGUCUCAUUGUUUCUGUACAGAUUUUCAUGUAUUCUCAUGUGUUUGGCUCCCAGAGUGUCGAUUCCUCCUUCUGUCUCAUCUUCCUCUGUUCUCUGUUACCUGGUCUUUCAGAGUACUGUUAGGGUGAUAUUCUGCCAAGUGUGAAGUUGAUGAGCUUCACAGUUACAACAGGUUAACAUUUCUGAAUAACAUGAUGAAAGUACAAGCAUGAACAUUUUAAACAUGUUUUUAUAUUUAUUUAUAUUUCAACAAUAUGUUUGAAUGUUUUAAUCCAGCAGUUUAAGGUCAGGCUCAGACUAAAGUCUGUGCUAAGACGACACCAUUGCAAAAUGUUCAUUUUGUUUUUCAGAGGUGGGCUUUCUGCAUCAUUACCCUGUUGCAUAAUCUGAGUGAGCUAAAGGGCAUGAACUGAUAGCUUCAUAUUCUCCUUCAGGAUUAUCAGAUAGGGAGCAGAAUUCAUGUUCAUCAAGUGAGACAAAUUGUCCAGAAGCAGCAAAGCAGCCCAGACCAUCACACUACAACCGCCAUGUUUGACUGUUGGUAUGAUGUUCUUCUUAUGAAAUGCUGUUAUUUUCAGUGCAGAUAUAAGGGGACUAAGACUUUCCAGAAAGAUGAGCCUUUUGUCUCGCCAGUGCACAGAUUAUUUUCCCAGAAGACUUGGGCAUCAUUGAGAUCAUUUUGGCCAAUGUGAGAUGAGCCUUCGUGAUCCUUUUGGUCACCAGCAGUUCUCGUCUUGGGAUUCUCCCGGUGUUUGAGGAUGGAAGCAGGGUUCCUACAACUUCAGGAAAGUUAGAUUUAAGACUUUUUUGUCACUCAGUAUUUAACAAUAACAAAAAAAUUCAUUAAGAGUUAAAUUUAUUAAGAGUUAUAGACUAAACAGGGGUUAGAGGUCAACAUGUUGAAAUUUGUGUGUGAUCAGUGAUGAGGGGUUUCUGUAUUACCCCUGACAUGCUGUUUAUUUUACAGUCAGCAGACUUCAAGUCUGAAAGACUUUCUUCAAAACAUACAACAUGCCUCAUACACACUUACACUGCUGCUUUUAUCCAUGAUGAUUCUGGCUCACAGACAGGAAAAAAGAAAAUCAUGUCUUUGAAUGUUUGAGACAUUUUAAUAACAAUUAGUCUUAUUCUGAAUUUUUAUGGAUCUGAUCUGAAGUCUGAGGUGUUUCUUUGGAUGAUGUUAAGUCAUUUAAGUUAUGUCCUGAGUUUUGGUUAUUGGUGCUUUUUUGAACAGAAUGGCUUGCUAUACUAAUACAGCUGCCUCCCUAUCCCUCUGUGUCUUGUGAGUCCUGCAUUUGGGUCCUCAUCUUGCUUGCCACAGCACUAACCUCGACAUAUAAGCAGAAAUCGUAUCGAUCCAGAGGCACAUUUAUCAAUUCAAGUAGACACAAACCUCAAGCUUAUCAAAUUUAUUAUCAUGUAAUUUAUUAACCA